ensembl:lncRNA
UGUACAUGUGCGCAGACAUGCAAACACACAUUUCAUUCAUCAGCUUAUCAUCCUGAUUAUGGUUUCUGGUGCCAGAUCUGCAAGCCAAGUCUCACUGGAAUUCCUGUGCCACCUUCAUUUUCUAAGACACAAAUGUACAAAUGGGUCAUUGUCACAUCUUUGGCUGACAGUGUUCUUUAAUACAAGUGUUUCCACAUCUGUCACACAGAAACUGAGCUUAUGGAUCAAGUGGACGUCAGGGAGGAGACUUGAGAGCCAAAAGAAGUCAGAGGAACAUCCUGGACAGCGCUGCAAGGACUGCUGGGAGUUCAGUACCUGCAUAUCUUCAUGUGGAGUACUGUGAGAUUGCAUCCUUUAAUAUGUAGAUUAUACACUACCGUUCAGAAGUUUGGGGUCACUUAGAAAUGUCCUGAUUUUUGAGAGAAAAACAUUUUUUUUUUGUCAAUGAAGAUAACAUUAAAUUAAUCAUAAAUCCAGUGUAGACAUUGUUAAUGUGGUAAAUGACUAUUCUAGUUGGAAACAGCUGAUUUUUAAUGGAAUAUCUCCAUAGGGGUACAGAGGAACAUUUCCAGCAACCAUCACUCCUGUGUUCUAAUGCUACAUUGUGUUAGCUAAUGGUGUUGAAAGGCUAAUUGAUGAAUAGAAAACCCUUGUACAGUUAUGUUAGCACAUGAAUAAAAAUGUGAGUUUUCAUGGAAAACAUGAAAUUGUCUGGGUGACCCCAAACUUCUGAACAGUAAUGUAAAUUCUGUUUUAGCUUUAAAAACAGGUUUAUUGCUAUUUGACUUGAUUAUAGAAUCACUCCGACCAGGUUGGAGGAGUUGACAACGCGACUUCAACAAGCAAACAAAUUUGAAGCCAUUCAACUCUCUGACACUUAAAGCUUGUAAUUCAAAUGAAAAACAGAAGUGUGAGGUGCACCCAAUUUGUCCAGGAAAUGUACGUAUUUUAAACUUGUAACAUCUUGACUGUGCUGACAGCUACAGGACACACAUCAGCUUUGGCAACCUUGAGCUACUCUGGAUUCUGAAAUUCGUCUUGUUGACAUCUUUCAUUGUGUUCCCCUUGUGGCAGAAAAUCAAAAGAAUGAGAAAAAGAUUUUAUACAGAUCGGAACUACAUCUAUAUUGUCUUGGCAGCAGUUUUAAUGCAGGUAUUCUGAUCUUCAUUCAAGACAAAACAACAUCCAGAACUUAUUUUUGUGGACAUGAAGCCUGUAACCUGUUUACUAGUCAAUAAAGUAGAUGUUCAAGUUUUAUUGUUGACUUUCUCCUGAUAGAUUUUCUUCACUGGCCUCAUGCUGGGAGUUAUUUUAGAAAUGCAAUAAAUUGAUAAUCACAACGUUGACAGAGACAAACACUGCAUAGAGGGUAUUUAACUGUUUCUUUUGUUUAACAAUACUAUUAUUUUAUAUGUAACAGCUGAAAGCUAAACAGUAAUAUUUGCAGUGUGUCUAUUUCAAUAUGUAUCUGCUUUACUAUAUGUGCACGUGCAGUUUGUGUUCAGAUAACAGACAUCAGCAUACACUUUAAAAAGUGUGUUUAUGGGUGCCUAGAAAGCUCAACUGGUUGAGCGAGCAACGCUAUGCAGUGGCCUGGGUUCAAUUCCAGCUCAUGGUCCUUUACUGCAUGUCUUCCCCUCAUUCUUCUCCCUGCUUUCUUGACUGUGCCUAUCAAACAAAGCCAACAAAAGGCCAAAAAAAGAACCCUU